rnacentral:rRNA from 1 species
CCCCCUUUUGCGCCCUUUAUAUAGAUGUUUUUAAACCGCUCAGGACGAACGCUGGCGGCGUGCUUAACACAUGCAAGUCGAACGAUGAACCUCCUUCGGGAGGGGAUUAGUGGCGAACGGGUGAGUAACACGUGGGCAAUCUGCCCUGCACUCUGGGACAAGCCCUGGAAACGGGGUCUAAUACCGGAUACUGACCCGCUUGGGCAUCCAAGCGGUUCGAAAGCUCCGGCGGUGCAGGAUGAGCCCGCGGCCUAUCAGCUUGUUGGUGAGGUAAUGGCUCACCAAGGCGACGACGGGUAGCCGGCCUGAGAGGGCGACCGGCCACACUGGGACUGAGACACGGCCCAGACUCCUACGGGAGGCAGCAGUGGGGAAUAUUGCACAAUGGGCGAAAGCCUGAUGCAGCGACGCCGCGUGAGGGAUGACGGCCUUCGGGUUGUAAACCUCUUUCAGCAGGGAAGAAGCGAAAGUGACGGUACCUGCAGAAGAAGCGCCGGCUAACUACGUGCCAGCAGCCGCGGUAAUACGUAGGGCGCGAGCGUUGUCCGGAAUUAUUGGGCGUAAAGAGCUCGUAGGCGGCUUGUCACGUCGGUUGUGAAAGCCCGGGGCUUAACCCCGGGUCUGCAGUCGAUACGGGCAGGCUAGAGUUCGGUAGGGGAGAUCGGAAUUCCUGGUGUAGCGGUGAAAUGCGCAGAUAUCAGGAGGAACACCGGUGGCGAAGGCGGAUCUCUGGGCCGAUACUGACGCUGAGGAGCGAAAGCGUGGGGAGCGAACAGGAUUAGAUACCCUGGUAGUCCACGCCGUAAACGGUGGGCACUAGGUGUGGGCGACAUUCCACGUCGUCCGUGCCGCAGCUAACGCAUUAAGUGCCCCGCCUGGGAGACCGCCACC